GAUGAACGCUGGCGGCGUGCUUAACACAUGCAAGUCGAGCGAUGAAGUUUCCUUCGGGAAACGGAUUAGCGGCGGACGGGUGAGUAAUGUAUGGGGAUCUGCCCGAUAGAGGGGGAUAACUACUGGAAACGGUAGCUAAUACCGCAUGACGUCUACGGACCAAAGCAGGGGCUCUUCGGACCUUGCGCUAUCGGAUGAACCCAUAUGGGAUUAGCUAGUAGGUGAGGUAAUGGCUCACCUAGGCGACGAUCUCUAGCUGGUCUGAGAGGAUGAUCAGCCACACUGGGACUGAGACACGGCCCAG
rnacentral:rRNA from 1 species